rnacentral:rRNA from 1 species
CAGGGUAUCAUCUGUGUCCAAUGUACACAUUCCCCAUUUAUUUGUGUUUAUUCCCAUGAGUACACUUUAAACCCUUUAACGAUGAUCUAUUGGAGGGCAAGUCUGGUUCCAGCAGCUGCGUUAUUCCAGCUCCAAUAGCGUAUAUUAAAGUUGUUGCUGUUAAAAAGCUCGUAGUUGGAUCUCCCCGUAUUUUUUUUCAAACAAUAUAAGUAUUUAAGUGCAGGACUUUACUUUUGAAAUGAAGAAUGAACUUCCAUUUUUAGCUCACAUGGCCUAAAGGGCCAAAGUGAGCUUAU